GGUGCCGUAGCUUAGACGGCAGAGCGCCGGCCUCAUAAGCCGGGAGGCGCUGGAUCGUAUCCAGCCGGCACCACCA
rnacentral:tRNA from 1 species